AACAGGUCGGUCCAUAUAACUACAGGUUUAAACAGGUCGGUCCAUAUAACUACAGGUUUAAACAGGUCGGUCCAUAUAACUACAGGUUUAAACAGGUCGGUCCAUAUAACUACAGGUUUAAACAGGUCGGUCCAUAUAACUACAGGUUUAAACAGGUCGGUCUAUAUAACUACAGGUUUAAACAGGUCAGUCCAUAUAACUACAGGUUUAAACAGGUCAGUCUAUAUAACUACAGGUUCAAACAGGUCGGUCUAUAUAACUACAGGUUUGAACAGGUCGGUCCAUAUAACUACAGGUUUAAACAGGUCAGUCUAUAUAACUACAGGUUCAAACAGGUCGGUCCAUAUAACUUCAGGUUCAAACAGGUCGGUCUAUAUAACUACAGGUUUAAACAGGACGGUCUAUAUAACUAUUGACUGUUGAAGGAUUAAACAGGCAGAUCCAUGUAAGGGCGGUCAGGUGGGAAAUUACUGGGAGGAAAAGGAGCUCAGACAACAUGUGGUAUAUGGAGGGUUACAACCUGACGUGAGAGAAAGAGAGUGAGAUAUUGCAGCCUAAGGAUAUGAUCAGGAGAAAGAAGAGAGAUGGGCAGAGCUCCGG
ensembl:lncRNA